UACGUAGGUGGCAAGCGUUGUCCGGAUUUAUUGGGUUUAAAGGGUGCGUAGGCGGUUCUAUAAGUCAGUGGUGAAAUACGGCAGCUCAACUGUCGAGGUGCCAUUGAUACUGUGGAACUUGAGUACAGACGAGGUAGGCGGAAUUGACGGUGUAGCGGUGAAAUGCUUAGAUAUCGUCAAGAACACCGAUAGCGAAGGCAGCUUACUAGGCUGUAACUGACGCUGAGGCACGAAAGUGUGGGGAUCAAACAGG
rnacentral:rRNA from 1 species